rnacentral:rRNA from 1 species
GAUCAUGGCUCAGGACGAACGCUGGCGGCGUGCUUAACACAUGCAAGUCGAGCGAGAAAUAUAUUUAUGAAGCUUCGGUAGAUUAGAUAUAUGGAAAGCGGCGGACGGGUGAGUAACGCGUAGGCAACCUGCCCCUUGCAGAGGGAUAGCCAUUGGAAACGAUGAUUAAAACCUCAUAACACCAAAGAGUCACAUGGCAUUUUGGUCAAAGAUUUAUCGGCAAGGGAUGGG